rnacentral:lncRNA from 1 species
GGGUGUUACAGCUAUUUCUUCUCUGUAUUAAUUUUUUUCUUUUUAUUAUCUUAAUAUUAGCUUUCAUUUCAUCUUAUCUAUUUUCAUUCCAUGCCUGUAUUAUUCCUCAUUCUUUAGUAUGCCUAUUUGGCAAAUUUAGUCCUUAGUUUUUGCAUAGUUUUUGCAUGCUUAGGUAUUAGUACCUAUGAUUUUAGGAAUGGAUUCUCUAUCUAGGCCACUUAUAUUUUUUAUAUCCAUUACGAGAGGAUAGUUAGUGUCGUAUUUUUAUUUACACGUUUAUUUAUCGGCCUAUCUAUUUGUUUAAUUGGUGAUAUUUCUGUUAUUGUUUUUCUAGUAUUGGAUUAUUCUCUCUUUCAGCUACACCAUGACGAACACAUUGGCAAAUCUAAAGUCGCUGUCCCCGC